AGAGUUUGAUCAUGGCUCAGAGCGAACGCUGGCGGCAGGCCUAACACAUGCAAGUCGAACGAGCCCUUCGGGGUUAGUGGCAGACGGGUGAGUAACACGUGGGAACGUGCCUUUUGGUUCGGAACAACUCAGGGAAACUUGAGCUAAUACCGGAUGUGCCCUUCGGGGGAAAGAUUUAUCGCCAUUAGAGCGGCCCGCGUCUGAUUAGCUAGUUGGUGAGGUAAAGGCUCACCAAGGCUUCGAUCAGUAGCUGGUCUGAGAGGAUGAUCAGCCACACUGGGACUGAGACACGGCCCAGACUCCUACGGGAGGCAGCAGUGGGGAAUCUUGCGCAAUGGGCGAAAGCCUGACGCAGCCAUGCCGCGUGAAUGAUGAAGGUCUUAGGAUUGUAAAAUUCUUUCACCGGGGAAGAUAAUGACGGUACCCGGAGAAGAAGCCCCGGCUAACUUCGUGCCAGCAGCCGCGGUAAUACGAAGGGGGCUAGCGUUGCUCGGAAUUACUGGGCGUAAAGGGCGCGUAGGCGGACAGUUAAGUCAGAGGUGAAAGCCCAGGGCUCAACCCUGGAAUUGCCUUUGAUACUGGCUGUCUUGAGUGCGGGAGAGGUGUGUGGAACUCCGAGUGUAGAGGUGAAAUUCGUAGAUAUUCGGAAGAACACCAGUGGCG
rnacentral:rRNA from 1 species